ensembl:lncRNA
CUUGUUCAUAGCAAUACCACUUACAAUAGGCAAAGGCAGAAACAACCCAAAUGACCUCCAGCAGAUGAAUGAGUAAACAAAUUAUGGCAUAUACAUUUAAUGGAAUAUGAUGCAGCCAUGAAAAGGAAAGAAGCCCUGGCAGAUGCUACAACGUGGAUGAAACUCAGAAACAUUAUGCUGAAUGGAAGGAGCCAGAUGCCAAAGGUCAUGUAUUGUAUGGUUCCAUGUAUGUGAAACAUUUCAGAAAAGAUACUUCCAUGGAGGUAGAAAGCAGAUUGGUGGUUGCCAGGGGUGGGAAGAGGGGAGAAUGAGGACUAACUGCUUACCAGCUACGGGGUUUCCUUUUGGGAUGAUGAAAAUGUGUUGGAACCACGUCGUUGCACAACAUAGUGAAUAUAUAGAUGCCAUUGAGUUAUUCACUUUAAAAUGGUUAGUUUUUUGUUACGUUUUUUUCAUCUCAAUUUUUUUUAAAUGGUACUUAACCUUGCAACAUGAGAGAAUCCUGAAAGAUCCUGAAGGAGCCCGAAGACUUUCAAGUGUACCUCCUCCCCAGCUCUGCUUCUAAGAUCUUUGCCUACUGCCGUACCAGGGAAGAGAAAGACGCCGCAGAUUCAGAGCCAGUGCAACAACUCACCCUUCAGUGGGGAUUCUUUUGAAAAGAGUCGACCAAAAAGCCCGGGCUGGGCUGGUUGUCUGCACAAGAUGUAUUUGAUUUCAAAGGCAAUUUGUUUUAGGUUAUGAUAUCUUUUUUGCAUUCAGUUAAAGCUUCCAUUCCAGAAAUAUUAGUGUUUUUUAAUACCUCCCCCACACCAACUGUAAGAUCUUACAGCAGCUUUCUGCAUUUGCAGCAAACCCCAUAUUCCUUCAGAACACGGUUGGCCAGAAUCUCGGGCGUCCCUGUCGAACAUAUGGAGAGAAAAUCGCUCCUCUCGCUGCUAUACCAGUUCUUUAAAAUGUCUUCCCAGAAGAUAAUCCGUAGCCAUUACGCAAAUGUGUGGACAAGCAACUUUUGUUUUCUGAAAGACCUAGGAUUCUUUGAACGUGGGAAGGACUACUUCAAGUUUUCUUUGAAGGUUUUCACCAAAGGGGCAUGUCUUUGCACCUUCCUACAACUUAAGACCUAACAGUUCUCAAGAGGAUGGUAAAGAGAAGCAGAGGAAAUUUCAUCUAUCAGUUGGCCAACUCAGACUGGAAGGAACUUCCCUCAUUGACAUGUAAUAGGAAAACAAUCAUCACCACAACAUAAAAGUAACCAAAAAUUCUACAGUUCAAGGAAACAGAGCACUAACUGAAGAUUCCAAUGAAGAGCAUAUAUCUAAAGUAACUUACUAUAGGAAAAGAAUACUCUAGAAAAAGUCUGUGUCCUUAAUAGAAUGCAAGGAGACAUGAUGUUUAUCAUAUAGUGACCUACCAAUUAAGAAUUCAAGGAAACGAAAAAUUUCACUGGGGAAUUAAACGUCUCAUUGGAGACAAGAAAGCAUUAAAAUAGACUCUGUUGAUAAUCAAAUCAGUAAUUUAUAGCUUGAGUAUGAGUUUUUUUUCAGGGAAACUUCCUCACCUUUCUAUGGAUAGUGCUUACAGCUCAGAUUCAAACACAACUAGCUGUUACUUCACUGUGCUUCACUGUUACUGCAUUUGGUGUCGAUGUCUGUCCUGAUACUAUGGGCUCUUUCAGGGAGGGACCAUGAUCUACACAUUUUUAUCCCUAGUGAGCAACUUAACCCCUAACCUGUGAGUCCUCAUUAAGUGCUUGAUGAAUGUAUGAAAUGAGAGCUCAAAAUUAGUUUGGUUCUGUUAAC